rnacentral:misc_RNA from 1 species
GAAAUGCGAUAAGUAAUGUGAAUUGCAGAAUUCAGUGAAUCAUCGAAUCUUUGAACGCACAUUGCGCCCCUUGGUAUUCCGGGGGGCAUGCCUGUUCGAGCGUCAUUAUAACCCUCAAGCCUAGCUUGGUGUUGGAGCAUGCCUUCUGGCAGCUCUUAAAAUCAGUGGCAGUGCCCUUCGGCUCUAAGCGUAGUAACUUCUCUCGCUAUGGACGUCGCUGGACACGCGCCAGAACCCCUAAUUUUCUAUGGUUGACCUCGGAUCAGGUAGGGAUACCCGCUGAACUUAA